rnacentral:rRNA from 1 species
UACCAGCACCCCGAGUGGUCGGGACGAUUAUUGGGCCUAAAGCAUCCGUAGCCGGUUCUACAAGUCUUCCGUUAAAUCCACCUGCUUAACAGAUGGGCUGCGGAGGAUACUAUAGAGCUAGGAGGCGGGAGAGGCAAGCGGUACUUAGUGGGUAGGGGUAAAAUCCGUUGAUCCAUUGAAGACCACCAGUGGCGAAGGCGGCUUGCCAGAACGCACUCGACGGUGAGGGAUGAAAGCUGGGGGAGCAAACCGGAUUAGAAACCCUUGUAGUCC